rnacentral:tRNA from 1 species
AGAGAAUUUGUCAUUAGGGUAACGGUUAAGUUCUUCUACUAAUGACUGAACAAUAUCAAAGUUCAAGUCCACGGAAAGAUUAUAAAGC